GCUCCCGUAGCACAGUCGGUUAGAGCGUCGUACUUAUAAUGCGAAGGUCGGGGGUUCGAGCCCCCCCGGGAGCA
rnacentral:tRNA from 3 species